rnacentral:lncRNA from 1 species
UUUUCUUUUUUCUUUUUUUUUUUUUUUUUUUUUUUUUUUUGUCUUUUUGCAAUUUCUUUGGGCCCCUCCUGCGGCACAUGGAGGUUCCCAGGCUAGGGAUCAGAAAUAAUUAAAUCCAAGCAUCCAGAUCCUGGUUUUUAACACCAUUCUCUAAUAAAUGGAACUGGGCAUGGAGAAGUGGCUGAUUGUAGGACUAGGCCAGAAAGUAUACUAGACGAUCCUGAAACAUCUUAGAGAGCCAAACAGUAAGUAAGUGCUUCCAGCAGUCAAAGCUAGACUAGUUUGAGCAGUAAAAUAACAUAGUAUUGUAUUAUACCCCAGAGUAUAAAAUGGAUAUCCGUAAGUCCGUACUGACACAAAUUAAUGCUUGAAUAAACAAAUAAGAGACAAUAGACAAAUCUCCCAUAUAGAAGAAUUCCAAAUAAUUACCUAGAGAAAUCCCUUCAAGGAGAUGGAAAAUAUCUCCCUUACACCCCUUAAGUGUAACCACCUUCCAAAAAGUAGAGAGGAGGAAUAUGGCUUAGACUGCCUUAGCCAGGUAGGUAUUCAAGGUCAACAUCAACAGUGACAAGUCAUGUUGAUAUUAUGUACCUCUGAUACGAUAUAAUGAAAUGGCACUUUACCUCUGUGGUUGCCUUGAAACCCAUAACCAUCAACCUAGUUUAAUCAUCAGAAAAAUACACAAAAUAUUUGAUCAGUACUCUUUAAAACUGUCAAGGCUGGAGUUCUCACCAGUGGGUUAAGAAUCCCACUGCAGGGAGUUCCAGUUGUGACUCAGCAGGUUAAGAAUCUGACCAGUAUCUGUGAGGAUGCAGGUUUGAUCCCUGGUCUUGCUCAGUAGGUUCAGGAUCCGGCAUUGCCACAAGUGUGGUGUAGGUCCAGAUGUGGCUCAGAUCCUCCAUUGCUAUGGCUGUGGUGUAUCCUGGCAGCUGCAGCUGCAAUUUGACCCCUAGCUUGGCAACUUUCAUAUAAUGCAGGUUCACCCCCACCCCACCCCCAAAAAAAUCUGACUGCAAUGGCUCAGGUCCCUGUGGAUGUGCCAGUUUAAUCCCUGGCCUGGUGCAGUGGGUUAAAGGUGCCCGCAUUGCCAAAGCUGCGGCUUGGAUUCAGUCUCUGGCCAGGGAACUUUAUUAUGCCACAAGUGUGGGCUUAAAAACAAAUAAACAAAAAAAUUUCAGGCCGUCAAAAACAAGGUAUAUCUGAGGAAUUGAAAGGAGUCUACAGAGAUAUAUAAAUAACAACCAGAUGUAAUGAGAUACCCUGGUGGGACCUUGGAAUAAAAAAAGGACAUUUGGUAAAAACUAAGCUAUUCUGAAUGAAGUAUGGACCCCCAGUACUAAUCUCUCAAUGAUGGUUCAUCAAUUGUGACAAACAUACCAUUUAAUAGAAAAUGUUAAUAAUAAGAGAAACCAGGUACAGGGCAUACAGAAAUUCUCUAUACUAUCCUUAAGAACUUUUCUGUAAAUUCAAAAUAAUUCUAAAAUAAAAGGUUUAUUUAAAAAACAAAACCAAAAUGUGUAUCAGCAGUUUUAUAUGAUUCAACAUAAUACUUAUAGGAUCGUUGUGAAAAUUAAAGUAGAAAAUAUGUGUAAAUCACUUAACACGGUGUUUGAUUCAGAAGUGUUCAAUAGGAGUUCCUGUUGUGGCUCAGUGAUGAACAAAUCCGACUAAGAACCAUGAGGUUGUGGGUUCGGUCCCUGCCCUUGCUCAGUGGGUUAAGGAUCCGGGGUUGCCAUGAGCUGUGGUGUAGGUCGCAGACGCAGCUUGGAUCCUGCAUUGCUGUGGCUCUGGUAUAGGCCGGUGGCUACAGCUCCGAUUGGACUCCUAGCCUGGGAACCUCCAUAUGCUGCGGAAGCAGCACAAGAAAUGGCAAAAAGACAAAAAAAAAAAAAAAGAAAUGUUCAAUAAAUGGUAGUUUUUAUGAGGAUGACUCUUAUCAUUGUUAUUUCAGACAGAAUAAUUGAAGAUUGAAGUGAGGGGAAGGUGACAUUUGUUUAUUCAGUACUUGCUAUAUGCCAAGUACUCAGCUAACUAGUGGAGAUUUAGCUGUGGACAUGAUACAUACAGCUCCUGGUCUCCUAUAAAUUUUGGAUAGAGGGACAACAGAGAGAAGCCAUAACUAAUAGUUUGUGAUGGAGGAAAAGGCAUAAAAACUUUAAAAAAUAAGAUAAACUUUACAGAAAUAUAAAGGCACAGGAACUCAUAUACAGGACGAAAAUACACUACUCACCUUAGUAAACUCUGGAGGCUCCUCUGGGUGUGUUUUAUCUCUAGGUAAGCUGAUUUUUAUUGUGGUAAACUGGAGUCUUCAAGGGAAAGUAAUGAGAUUUUUCAUAUACUGUGUUUAAUUAGUAAGUGAAAUAUGUAGCAAAAAAUUUAAAGGAGUAACUUAUUUGAAAAAUCUGUUAUGUAGGAAACCUCAUUCCUUCUAUCAUUCUGCUUUUUAUUGUUUCUUAAAACACAUUUUUAGUCUUCUCCCUACUUCCAUCUUUUAAAAAGUCAGCCCUCACAUAAUUUCAUCCUUUAAUGAGGUUGUGUGGUAGCAUAGCACUGUUCCUUACUAGCCUGCUCUCUGUCCCAAAUACCCAGAUGCUUUGUCCUUUCCGAAUUAGUUUUUCCACAACUAUUUGAUGAUCUUUACUUCAGGCCUUCUUCUCUUAGCAAUGGAUCACCUAAGGCCUUUGGGAUGAAUAUAGAAGCCCAGCUUAUUCAAUAUGCCAGAAAAUAAAGCCACCUCAAAUCUAAGACAAUACUCUAUUUCCUUAAUAUUAGUUUAAAAAAAAAAGGAAAAAGGGAUUUUUUUAGGCUAAUAUCAAUAUGUAACAUUUAAGGCUUGUACUUGAAAUAAGGAAAUUUCUUCUGAGGAUUUUAAUUUUUCAAUUUAGUUGCAUAUUUUUAAAAUAACAUUACAUGACAUAUUUUAAUUUAUAAAUUCUUCAUUUCCCUACUCACGUUUCAUUAGACAGUUGAAUUCAAACUUCUCACAGAGUUUAUUGACAUCAGUGACUUUGCCAUCAUGAGCACUAUUAUGGGGAUCAUCUAGUGCUAUUCUCCAGAGCAUCAUGUUUACUUAUAUUUAAGCUCCUUUGGAUACAGCACUUUUCAAAUCCAGGAGUGACUGGAAAUUUUUUCUCACACUAGAUUCUUACUUGAAUAUAUUAAAGCAGAUGGGUUUUGUUUUUUUUUUUUAAUCUCUAGGUUAUACAAUAGCUAUAACUUAACCACUUGCCAUAUUUCUUUUUCAGUGAUCUUUUAAAAGCUUGUUUAUAACCAGAUCCAACACCUACCAUGUUCAGUUCUCCCCCCAGCAAUGUUUAUUAAAUUGGUAGUAAAAUUUUACUUCCUUUUUUAAUGAUUCUACUGGGUCAUCAUUUUCAGCACCCAUAUAUACCAUUGAUUGGGGUUGUUUCAGGCUAAGACGUAGUCACAAAUAUUACUUUGUUGUUCGAAACAGAGAUAAGUGAAUGUCCUCAAUAAGAAACUUUGUCAGUUAUAGGUGACUUCCCCUUUUCUGAAGGAAAUUUUAUUUCACCUUAUAUAGAGACAUAUAUGGAAAUAUAAGUAGGCAGUUGUAAAUAAGAAUAGGUUAUAAACUUAGUAAAUGGAAAUUUGGGCCUUAUAAAUUCUAUAUAGUAGUGGCUUUUAAACUCUAGUGUGCCCUGGAGGGCGUGUUAAAACACAUUGCCUUACUCCUCUGGAGUUUUUGAUUCAGUGGGUCUGUGGUGAGGCUUAAAUAUCUAUAUUUCUCACAAAUUCCAAAUGAUUGAUGAUGAUAUUACAGUUAAGGGACCCUACUUUGAGAAAUAGUGCUCUCUAAAGUAGUUUAAAUUCCGUAGAACAAUAUUUUGCCUCCUUUUACACUACAGGUGUCAUUGUGUGAACAGAUAUCACUGAUUUCAUAAGGAUCUAGAACUGAAAAAGUAAUUGGUUGUUGUAUAAAAUAUUCUUUUAAUGGCAUGGAUUUCCUGUACACUGAAAGAAAAACAAUAAGUCAUUUUUCAAAGCAGCCAUAAACCUUAGUGUCACUUAAAAUCAUUUUAUAGAGUGAAAUCACUGACCUAAAAUAAAAUUAACUGUAAAGUACAAGUAUUUAUUAUCACUAUUUAGUAUUUUCAUAAUAAAGGAAGUUAUUUUCCUUAUCAAAUAAAAUGUUAGAAAUAGUACAUUGCUGUUGGAGAGAAAUAUUGUGAUAUUUAGGAACUGGAUCCAUCUAAAUAGGUGAGAUAAAAGCUGGGCUCUCAUUUUGAGAAUUAGUAUCUCAAGCUUUCCUGAAACCCACUGGGGAGUUUGGAUGUUUUGAGUACUAUCUGCCCUGUCCUCCUUGCUCAGUGCCUUGCAAUAAACACUGCACUUUCCAUUAC